rnacentral:tRNA from 1 species
GCCUAGUUAGCUUGGUUGGUAGCGCGUCUGCCUCGAAAGCGCUAGGUCGCGGGUUCAGUUCCCGCCCGAGGCG